UACAGAGGUCUCAAGCGUUGUUCGGAUUCAUUGGGCGUAAAGGGUGCGUAGGCGGCGCGGUAAGUCGGGUGUGAAAUCUCGGAGCUUAACUCCGAAACUGCAUUUGAUACUGGCGUGCUUGAGGACUGGAGAGGAGACUGGAAUUUACGGUGUAGCAGUGAAAUGCGUAGAGAUCGUAAGGAAGACCAGUGGCGAAGGCGGGUCUCUGGACAGUUCCUGACACUGAGGCACGAAGGCCAGGGGAGCAAACGGG
rnacentral:rRNA from 1 species